rnacentral:rRNA from 1 species
UCUCUCUUGAGUGGAUCCUGAGUACGACGGAGCACGUGAAAUUCCGUCGGAAUCUGGGAGGACCAUCUCCUAAGGCUAAAUACUCUCUAGUGACCGAUAGUGAACCAGUACCGUGAGGGAAAGGUGAAAAGUACCCCGGAAGGGGAGUGAAAGAGAACUUGAAACCGUGUGCUUACAAGUAGUCAGAGCCCGUUAAUGGGUGAUGGCGUGCCUUUUGUAGAAUGAACCGGCGAGUUACGAUCUGAUGCAAGGUUAAGCAGCAAAUGUGGAGCCGCAGCGAAAGCGAGUCUGAAUAGGGCGUUGAGUAUUUGGUCGUAGACCCGAAACCAGGUGAUCUACCCUUGGUCAGGUUGAAGUUCAGGUAACACUGAAUGGAGGACCGAACCGACUUACGUUGAAAAGUGAGCGGAUGAACUGAGGGUAGCGGAGAAAUUCCAAUCGAACUUGGAGAUAGCUGGUUCUCUCCGAAAUAGCUUUAGGGCUAGCCUCAAGUGAUGAUUAUUGGAGGUAGAGCACUGUUUGGACGAGGGGCCCCUCUCGGGUUACCGAAUUCAGACAAACUCCGAAUGCCAAUUAAUUUAACUUGGGAGUCAGAACAUGGGUGAUAAGGUCCGUGUUCGAAAGGGAAACAGCCCAGACCACCAGCUAAGGUCCCAAAAUAUAUGUUAAGUGGAAAAGGAUGUGGCGUUGCCCAGACAACUAGGAUGUUGGCUUAGAAGCAGCCAUCAUUUAAAGAGUGCGUAAUAGCUCACUAGUCGAGUGACACUGCGCCGAAAAUGUACCGGGGCUAAACAUAUUACCGAAGCUGUGGAUUGUCCUUUGGACAAUGGUAGGAGAGCGUUCUAAGGGCGUUGAAGCAUGAUCGUAAGGACAUGUGGAGCGCUUAGAAGUGAGAAUGCCGGUGUGAGUAGCGAAAGACGGGUGAGAAUCCCGUCCACCGAUUGACUAAGGUUUCCAGAGGAAGGCUCGUCCGCUCUGGGUUAGUCGGGUCCUAAGCUGAGGCCGACAGGCGUAGGCGAUGGAUAACAGGUUGAUAUUCCUGUACCACCUA